UGCAACCCUAAAAGUAGACCCCAUAUUCAAUCAAUUGCAAACCCAACUUAAAGGAGUGUUAAAACUACUAUUUAGCCCUUGUGACCAAACAAAAAAACAUAAAGUCAUUUUACUGUUCUGUCCUUCGUAAGUCUACACAUAACAAACAUAGUCUACAUAUCCGUAGAUGUCAUACACGGUCUACAUUGUCGACUUAAUUUGUAGUCUACAAUGUAAUUUAAUCUAGUUAAUUACAUUUAAAAAUAUAUAAAAUUAUUUUUUAUGAAAUUAUUAAUUAAUCAUCAAUGUAAAUGUUAAUAUGAAGUUUAUAAACUAAAUUUGUAUAUAAGUGAACAGCUAAAAAAAAUAUAUGUUGAUUUGGUAACCAUGUGAGACAAUGUUUGUGGUUUAGUAACAAAGGUUACAUAACAUAACAUGUUAUAUCUUUAGAGGUUAGAUCUUUAGAGUUAGAUUUUGAUUGUUUUUUUUGUUUAAUUAACAUAUUAUUACUGAGUAGUUUAGAUUUUGUAAAUUUGAUUUUUGAUACAAUAAUUUCCUAUCAAACUAACAUAUAGGGUUUGAGUUUCGUGGUUUAGGGUUUGGGUUUUGUGGUUUAGGGUUUUGUAGACUUACAAUUCAGUCUACUGUAAUAAGUGUACAAAAAGUCAUUUUUUCUUCUAUAAAUUGAGUUUAUGAAUAAAAAAGUAAAAUCACACAUUAUAACUAUUAAUAAAUAAAGAAAAAAAUUUAGUAUUUCAUAUAUAAAUUUACUAAAACAACAAAAUAAAAUAGGAAAUUAAAAUAUUGUAGACUGACAAAAAGGUAGACAAACAAAGAAGUCUACUCUCUACGAUUUUAGCCAAACCGGAGUCAACCAAUUUUAAUUUUAACCAAAUCUACUUCAAACCAAACAUUUUUAACCUAACCAGAAAAGUUACCCAGCAUAUAAAUACGAUUUCCUAAGCUUUUUUCUAUUAAGAAAACCCUAAUCCUGCCGCCAUCGAUGAAGGCGAUUUCCGGGGAGAUUUCCGGCGAACCCUAACCACGCCGCUUCGCGAACCCUAACCACGCCGUUUCCGGCGCUCAACCUCCUCACCGUCUGUUCCGUCGGUCUGUAUCUUCUCUCAACCUCGUCAUCGGCUGCUCCGUCUGCUCCUGGGAGAUUUCCGGCGAACCCUAACCAGGCAGCCGUUUCUCUCCGGCGGCGAUUCUCUACUCUUGUUGGCGAACGAACGGUGUCUCUGCCUCCAAUCAGUCGCACGGCUUCUACUCUCGCUGUUUCAUAUCUCCGCCCCCAAACUAGUCACCAUCCACUUCGUCAGUCCCAUAUCUUCUCUCUGAUUUUAGACGGUGACUUCUUCUCACGUUAGUGGCGUUUCAUAUCUCCGGCGAACGAAAGGAUUUAAAAUGGAACAGCUUGAUUUCCCACCAAGGCAAUUUACUGUAGGGCAGGAGCCAGUGCCGGCUAAAAGCAUUGGCUACUACAGUAGUAACACAAGGCUCUUCUCUGCUCUUCGUGAAGCACUCAAUGAAAAAGAAUGGGAGGAGCUCAAAGAGUCGAAACUGGGAGUGUUUUUAAAGUUCUACGAA